rnacentral:rRNA from 1 species
AAUGGGGGAAACCCUGAUCCAGCAAUGCCGCGUGAGUGAAGAAGGCCCUAGGGUUGUAAAGCUCUUUCAGCAGGGAAGAUUAUGACGGUACCUGCAGAAGAAGCUCCGGCUAACUCCGUGCCAGCAGCCGCGGUAAGACGGAGGGAGCUAGCGUUAUUCGGAUUUACUGGGCGUAAAGGGUGUGUAGGCGGUCAAUUAAGUUAGAUGUGAAAGCCCAGGGCUUAACCUUGGAACUGCAUUUAAUACUGAUUGACUUGAGUUCGAUAGAGGAAAGCGGAAUUCCUAGUGUAGAGGUGAAAUUCGUAGAUAUUAGGAGGAACACCAGAGGCGAAGGCGGCUUUCUGGAUCGAUACUGACGCUGAGACACGAAAGCGUGGGGAGCAAACAGGAUU